UCCCAAAUAGUCUAGGCGGUUAGGAUACGUGGCUUUCACCCACGCGACCCGGGGUUCGAGUCCCGGCUUGGGAA
rfam:Phytophthora infestans T30-4 supercont1.152 genomic scaffold, whole genome shotgun sequence.